rnacentral:rRNA from 1 species
UACGCUCUGACUGAACAUCUAAGUAGGAGCAGGAAGAGAAAACAAUAGUGAUUCCCUGAGUAGUGGCGAGCGAAAGGGGAGAAGCCCAAACCGGGCCCUACGGGGUUCGGGGUUGUAGGACCUGCGCGAGUUGUGUUAUUGGAAGUCGAAUGGGUCUGGAAAGCCCAGCCACAGACGGUGAUAGUCCGGUAGGCGUAACGAUGACAUGAUGGCGGGUAUCCUGAGUAGCGCGAGGCCGGUGAAACCUUGCGUGAAUUUGCCGGCACCAUCCGGUAAGGCUAAAUACAUCUGCAUGACCGAUAGUGAACCAGUACCGUGAGGGAAAGGUGAAAAGAACGCCGAGACGGCGAGUGAAAUAGUACCUGAAACCGUGUGCUUACAAGCGGUCGGAGGCCCUUCGGGGCUGACGGCGUGCCUUUUGUAUAAUGAGCCUACGAGUUACUCCUGUUGUGCGAGGUUAAGCCCUUUCGGGGUGGAGCCGUAGCGAAAGCGAGUCUGAAUAGGGCGUGCAGUACGACGGGGUAGACGCGAAACCAAGUGAUCUAUCCAUGGCCAGGGUGAAGUGGCGGUAAAACGCCAUGGAGGCCCGAACCGGUUGACGUUGAAAAGUCUUCGGAUGAGCUGUGGAUAGGGGUGAAAGGCCAAUCAAACUUGGAGAUAGCUCGUACUCCCCGAAAUAUAUUUAGGUAUAGCGUCUGGUUUUGUCUGCCCGGAGGUAGAGCACUGAUUAGGCUAGGGGGCUUCACCGCCUACCAACCCUAGACAAACUCCGAAUACCGGGCCAGAGCCGCCAGGCAGUCAGUCCUAGGGUGAUAACGUCCUA